rnacentral:rRNA from 1 species
GAGUGGCGCAAGGGUGCGUAACACGUGGGUAAUCUGCCGCGAAGUCCGGGAUAACUUGCUGAGAGGCGAGCUAAUACCAGAUGUGACUGUCGGGAGGCAUCUCCUGGCAUUCAAAGUUGGGGACCGUAAGGCCUGACACUUCACGAUGAGCCCGCGGCCUAUCAGCUAGUUGGUGAGGUAACGGCCCACCAAGGCUAAGACGGGUAGCUGGUCUGAGAGGACGACCAGCCACACUGGAACUGAGACACGGUCCAGACACCUACGGGUGGCAGCAGUCGAGAAUUUUUCUCAAUGGGCGAAAGCCUGAAGGAGCGACGCCGCGUGGGGGAUGAAGGGCUUCGGCCUGUAAACCCCUGUCAUUUGCGAUCAAGGCGACCGACCUAAUACGUCGGGCGUUGAUAGUAGCGAAAGAGGAAGGGACGGCUAACUCUGUGCCAGCAGCCGCGGUAAUACAGAGGUCCCAAGCGUUGUUCGGAUUUACUGGGCGUAAAGGGUGCGUAGGUGGCAAGGUAAGUUCGGUGUGAAAUCUCCAGGCUUAACCUGGAAACUGCACUGGAUACUAUCUAGCUCGAGGAUCGUAGGGGAGACUGGAAUUCUCGGUGUAGCAGUGAAAUGCGUAGAUAUCGAGAGGAACACCAGUGGCGAAAGCGAGUCUCUGGACGAUCCCUGACACUGAGGCACGAAAGCUAGGGGAGCAAACAGGAUUAGAUACCCUGGUAGUCCUAGCCCUAAACGGUGCAUGUUUGCUGUGGGAGGAAUCGACCCCUUCCGUGGCGAAGCUAACGCGUUAAACAUGCCGCCUGGGGAGUACGGCCGCAAGGUUAAAACUCAAAGAAAUUGACGGGGGCCUGCACAAGCGGUGGAGUAUGUGGCUUAAUUCGAUCAACGCGAAGAACCUUACCUGGCCUUGACAUGUAGGUGGUAGAAGCCUGAAAGGGCAACGACCCCGCAAGGGGAGCUUACACAGGUGCUGCAUGGCUGUCGUCAGCUCGUGUCGUGAGAUGUUGGGUUAAGUCCCGCAACGAGCGCAACCCUCGUGUCCUGUUGCGACCCGGAUGAGAAUUCGGAGCACUCUGGACAGACUGCCACAUUUUCAUGUGGAGGAAGGUGGGGAUGACGUCAAGUCAGGAUGGCCCUUACGGCCAGGGCUGCACACGUACUACAAUGCCCGGUACAAAGAGAAGCAAGACCGCAAGGUGGAGCUAAUCUCGCAAAACCGGGCCCAGUUCAGAUUGUCGGCUGCAACUCGCCGACAUGAAGCUGGAAUCGCUAGUAAUGGCGCAUCAGCUACGGCGCCGUGAAUACGUUCCCAGGCCUUGUACACACCGCCCGUCACAUCAUGAAAGCCGGUUGUACCCGAAGUCGGCGCGUUAACCGCAAGGAGACAGCUGCCGAAGGUAUGGCUGGUGAUUGGGAUGAAGUCGUAACAAGGUA